ACCACCGAAGUUAAGCAGCGUAGAGCCAGGUCAGUACUUAGAUGGGGGACCGCUUGGGAACACCUGGUACUGUAAG